AGCAAUUUUAGUCCAUACGGAUGGGUCUGUCACACUGCAUCAGAAGUCCACAGAUUCUGGCCCUCUUGUCGACAUCUUUCCCUAUCUGGGUGUGACGAAGUGCCCUUCGCCACUUAUUCUUGGAGAGGACUAAUGGCUAGCCUUUUGCCCUGUGAUUAUGGCCCCUGUGACUUAUUGGGUUUUAAGGAAAUUUUAAAGACAUUUAUGGCCCUGGAAUUCAUAUUUCUACUUAUUGGCUUGGAUAUUAU